rnacentral:rRNA from 1 species
UGGGGAAUAUUGCACAAUGGGCGCAAGCCUGAUGCAGCCAUGCCGCGUGUAUGAAGAAGGCCUUCGGGUUGUAAAGUACUUUCAGCGGGGAGGAAGGGAGUGAAGUUAAUACCUUUGCUCAUUGACGUUACCCGCAGAAGAAGCACCGGCUAACUCCGUGCCAGCAGCCGCGGUAAUACGGAGGGUGCAAGCGUUAAUCGGAAUUACUGGGCGUAAAGCGCACGCAGGCGGUUUGUUAAGUCAGAUGUGAAAUCCCCGGGCUCAACCUGGGAACUGCAUCUGAUACUGGCAAGCUUGAGUCUCGUAGAGGGGGGUAGAAUUCCAGGUGUAGCGGUGAAAUGCGUAGAGAUCUGGAGGAAUACCGGUGGCGAAGGCGGCCCCCUGGACGAAGACUGACGCUCAGGUGCGAAAGCGUGGGGAGCAAACAGG